rnacentral:rRNA from 1 species
AUUGAACGCUGGCGGCAGGCCUAACACAUGCAAGUCGAGCGGAUGAAGGGAGCUUGCUCCUGGAUCCAGCGGCGGACGGGUGAGUAAUGCCUAGGAAUCUGCCUGGUAGUGGGGGAUAACGUCCGGAAACGGGCGCUAAUACCGCAUACGUCCUGAGGGAGCAAGUGGGGGAUCUUCGGACCUCACGCUAUCAGAUGAGCCUAGGUCGGAUUAGCUAGUUGGUGGGGUAAAGGCCUACCAAGGCGACGAUCCGUAACUGGUCUGAGAGGAUGAUCAGUCACACUGGAACUGAGACACGGUCCAGACUCCUACGGGAGGCAGCAGUGGGGAAUAGUGGACAAUGGGCGAAAGCCUGAUCCAGCCAUGCCGCGUGUGUGAAGAAGGUCUUCGGAUUGUAAAGCACUUUAAGUUGGGAGGAAGGGCAGUAAGUUAAUACCUUGCUGUUUUGACGGUACCAACAGAAUAAGCACCGGCUAACUUCGUG